GUGCCAGCAGCCGCGGUAAUACAGAGGUCCCAAGCGUUGUUCGGAUUCAUUGGGCGUAAAGGGUGCGUAGGUGGCAUGGUAAGUCGGGUGUGAAAUCCCGGGGCUCAACCCCGGAACUGCACUCGAUACUGCCGUGCUCGAGUACUGGAGAGGAGACUGGAAUUUACGGUGUAGCAGUGAAAUGCGUAGAUAUCGUAAGGAAGACCGGUGGCGAAGGCUAGUCUCUGGACAGUUACUGACACUGAGGCACGAAGGCCAGGGGAGCAAACGGGAUUAGAUACCCCAGUAGUCC
rnacentral:rRNA from 1 species